rnacentral:pre_miRNA from 1 species
UACCUACUCCCUCCGUUCGGAAUUACUCGUCCAAAAAAUAAAUGUAUCUAGAUGUAUUUUAGUUAUAGAUACAUCCAUUUUUGUGACAAGUAAUUCCGAACGGAGGGAGUACUUU